rnacentral:rRNA from 1 species
GACGGGACCGCACAAGCGGUGGAUGAUGUGGAUUAAUUCGAUGCAACGCGAAAACCUUACCUACCCUUGACAUGUCCGGAAUCCCGAAGAGAUUUGGGAGUGCUCGCAAGAGAACCGGAACACAGGUGCUGCAUGGCUGUCGUCAGCUCGUGUCGUGAGAUGUUGGGUUAAGUCCCGCAACCGAGCGCAACCCUUGUCAUUAGUUGCCAUCAUUUGGUUGGGCACUCUAAUGAGACUGCCGGUGACAAACCGGAGGAAGGUGGGGAUGACGUCAAGUCCUCAUGGCCCUUAUGGGUAGGGCUUCACACGUCAUACAAUGGUCGGUACAGAGGGUUGCCAACCCGCGAGGGGGAGCUAAUCCCACAAAGCCGAUCGUAGUCCGGAUCGCAGUCUGCAACUCGACUGCGUGAAGUCGGAAUCGCUAGUAAUCGUGGAUCAGCAUGUCACGGUGAAUACGUUCCCGGGUCUU